CACGUAGGGGCGCAAGCGUUGUCCGGAAUUAUUGGGCGUAAAGAGCUCGUAGGCGGUCUGUUGCGUCCGACUGUGAAAACUCGGGGCUUAACCCCGAGACCUGCAGUGGAUACGGGCAGACUAGAGGUAGAUAGGGGAGAAUGGAAUUCCCGGUGUAGCGGUAGAAAUGCGCAGAUAUCGGGAGGAACACCGGUGGCGAAGGCGGUUCUCUGGGCCUUGACCUGACGCUGAGGAGCGAAAGCGUGGGGAGCGAACAGG
rnacentral:rRNA from 1 species